rnacentral:rRNA from 1 species
GUCCACGCCCUAACGAUGAGUGUUAGAUAUUGGGAUUUAUUCUCGGUGUCGUAGCUAACGCGUUAAACACUCCGCCUGGGAAGUACGGUCGCAAGAUUAAAACUCAAACGGAAUUGACGGGACCCGCACAAGCGGUGGAACAUGUGGUUUAAUUCGAUGUCACGCGAAAACCUUACCAGGCCUUGACAUAGUAGUCGUAUGACACAGAGAUGUGUUAGUCGGUUCGGCCGGACUAUUACAAGUGUUGCAUGGCCGUCGU